rnacentral:rRNA from 1 species
AUUGAACGCUGGCGGCAGGCCUAACACAUGCAAGUCGAACGAGUGGCGGACGGGUGAGUAAUGUUUGGGAAUCUGGCUGAUGGAGGGGGAUAACUACUGGAAACUGUAGCUAAUACCGCAUACCAUCGGAUGUGCCCAGGUGGGAUUAGGUAGUAGGUGGGGUAAAGGCUCACCUAGUCGACGAUCCCUAGCUGGUCUGAGAGGAUGACCAGCCACACUGGAACUGAGACACGGUCCAGACGCCUACGGGAGGCAGCAGUGGGGAAUAUUGCACAAUGGGCGCAAGCCUGAUGCAGCCAUGCCGCGUGUAUGAAGAAGGCCUUCGGGUUGUAAAGUACUUUCAGCGGGGAGGCGUUACCCGCAGAAGAAGCACCGGCUAACUCCGUGCCAGCAGCCGCGGUAAUUC